UACGGGGGGGGCAAGCGUUGUUCGGAAUUACUGGGCGUAAAGGGCUCGUAGGCGGCCAACUAAGUCAGACGUGAAAUCCCUCGGCUUAACUGGGGAACUGCGUCUGAUACUGGAUGGCUUGAGUUUGGGAGAGGGAUGCGGAAUUCCAGGUGUAGCGGUGAAAUGCGUAGAUAUCUGGAGGAACACCGGUGGCGAAGGCGGCAUCCUGGACCAACACUGACACUGAGGAGCGAAAGCCAGGGGAGCAAACAGG
rnacentral:rRNA from 1 species